GCCUGGGUGGCUAAGUGGGUUAAGCAUCUGACUUCAGCUCAGGUCAUGAUCUCAUGGUUCAUGAGUUCGAGCCCUGUAUCAGGCU
rnacentral:tRNA from 1 species